rnacentral:lncRNA from 1 species
UAUCCAUUGCUCCCCAAGUCUCUUCUUUGCUUGUUGGAAUCUCAUAAUCUUCCAAUAUGAUUUUCCAGACUCCAUUGUUGAUUGACUUUAAGUAUAACUUCAUCUUGUUCUUCCAGAAGUCAUACUUUACUCUAUCGAACCUGGGAGGUUUGUUCGAUGCAAGACCAGUACUGUUUUCACCAUUUGAAGCCAUAGUUGUUGUUGUAAGAUGUUAGUCUGACUUCAAUGGAACUUGGCUCUGAUACCACUUGUUGGAUCGUGAUCCGAGGCUAUAAGGGGGGAUAAUAGCCUCUUUUCGAUUUAUACAGGUUGAUUGCGGAAUUACCUGUAAACGCUUAAUAAACAAAUGGUUGAACAAUAAUGAUAUAAAGAUAUUAUAACUUUGAUUGAUAUAAUAAUGUAAUUAUUACUCUUCGAAGCUUACCACAGUAUAUGAAUUACUGAGUCAACUUGCUUGAUAGUGUUUUACACACAACUAUAGUAUAUGAAUAUUAAGUUAUAUUGUAAACACACAACUAUAGAGUAAAUGACCAGAUAACUGGAUAUAUUUAUAAGCAUGUAAAUGACCAGAUAACUGGAUAUAUUGAUAAGCAAGUAAAUGACCAGAUAACUGGAUAUAUAUGAUAAGUAAAUGAAUGACCAGAUAACUGGAUAUAUAUGAUAACUAAAUGCUUGAACAAAUAUAAGUAUUUAAAAUAAUGAAUAUAACCUCAGAUAGUUGACCAGAUAACUGGAUGAGAGAUCUGCGUAAAGUAGUCAACCUCUGUAUUUGACCAGAUAACUGGAAGAGGGAUCCUUUUUAAUCAAGUGUUGAUUUAGUUGUUUUAGAUAAAAGAUAAAACUAUAAUUAACAGAGAACAACACAAGAGAUUUAUACUGGUUCACCCAAACAAGGGCUAGUCCAGUCCCGACCAACUGCCGGAAUUCACUCGCCUAAAGGUUAUGGCAAAACCUUAGAGUAUCAAAGAAACCCUUAAGAACCUCUCUAAGCUUUAAGGCUACUUCGCUUAGGAACCAGUCUUUUACGGGUAGACUCACACUUUAGAGUAUCAAGGGCACUCUUAAGAACCUCUAACUUUUACGGGUAAGUUAGUACCUUAGAGUAUCAAGGAACUCUUAAAAACC